CGGGUGAGUAACGCGUGAGAAUCUGGCUUCAGGUCUGGGACAACCACUGGAAACGGUGGCUAAUACCGGAUGUGCCGAGAGGUGAAAGGUUAACUGCCUGGAGAUGAGCUCGCGUCUGAUUAGCUAGUAGGUGCGGUAAAGGCGCACCUAGGCGACGAUCAGUAGCUGGUCUGAGAGGACGAUCAGCCACACUGGGACUGAGACACGGCCCAGACUCCUACGGGAGGCAGCAGUGGGGAAUUUUCCGCAAUGGGCGAAAGCCUGACGGGGCAAUACCGCGUGAGGGAGGAAGGCUCUUGGGUCGUAAACCUCUUUUCUCAGGGAAGAACACAAUGACGGUACCUGAGGAAUAAGCAUCGGCUAACUCCGUGCCAGCAGCCGCGGUAAUACGGAGGAUGCAAGCGUUAUCCGGAAUGAUUGGGCGUAAAGCGUCCGCAGGUGGCUGUGUAAGUCUGCUGUUAAAGAGUCUAGCUCAACUAGAUAAGAGCAGUGGAAACUACACGGCUAGUACGG
rnacentral:rRNA from 1 species